rnacentral:rRNA from 1 species
UACAGAGGGCCCGAGCGUUGUUCGGAUUCAUUGGGCGUAAAGAGCGCGCAGGCGGUUUGGUAAGUCGGAUGUGAAAUCCCGGGGCUCAACCCCGGACCUGCAUCCGAUACUGCCCGACUAGAGGUAGGUAGGGGAGAUCGGAAUUCCUGGUGUAGCGGUGAAAUGCGCAGAUAUCAGGAGGAACACCGGUGGCGAAGGCGGAUCUCUGGGCCUUACCUGACGCUCAGGCGCGAAAGCUAGGGGAGCGAACAGG